rnacentral:rRNA from 1 species
UACGGAGGGAGCUAGCGUUGCUCGGAAUUACUGGGCGUAAAGCGCGCGUAGGCGGCUUUGUAAGUUAGAGGUGAAAGCCCGGAGCUCAACUCCGGAACUGCCUUUAAGACUGCAUCGCUUGAAUCCAGGAGAGGUGAGUGGAAUUCCGAGUGUAGAGGUGAAAUUCGUAGAUAUUCGGAAGAACACCAGUGGCGAAGGCGGCUCACUGGACUGGUAUUGACGCUGAGGUGCGAAAGCGUGGGGAGCAAACAGG